UCACACGGCGUCUUCACCGGCGAUUGGAUCUCGAGCUCUCGUCCCUGGUUCAGAUGUCAGAUGAUGAAGACGAUGGUUGAUCGCGAUGGUGACACCCAGAGCUAGAAGGCCACGAGGAGUUCAAUUCAAUAUGAGAUGGAUUUCAACGGGCAAUAGAUAAUGACAUGUGACAAGCUAGAGUUGAUAGCAUUAAGCCUUUAUUUGAAGAAGCAAGAAUUGAUUCAGGGAAGAGUGAAAUAGAUGCAGAGGUUGUAAAAAAGGUUUGGGACAAGAUAGCACCUGCUAUGGCUUCACAGUUUGAUGCUCCCUACUCAGUUCCUCUGAUUGCACCACGUCCGCUCCUCCUAAAUGGUGCUGACGACCCUCAUUGCCCAGUCCUUGGUCUACAAGAACCUGCCUCCAAAGCUGUUGAGGCUUAAGCAGAAGUUGGUUCUGUGGAUAAGUUCAAGGAUCCAAAGAACUAGCUCGACUGGACUCUAGAUCACGGACAAUUUAGUCUUGGCACUUAAUUAGGAUGGCUAAAUUACAUUUGAUGGAUAUUUGCUAUCAGAAUUAUGAAUUUUAUGAAUCUACAUAUUAUACGCAUGGUUUUGAAUAUUGUAAUUGAAUGUCU